AGUGAACGCUGGCGGCAGGCCUAACACAUGCAAGUCGAACGGUAGCACAGAGGAGCUUGCUCCUUGGGUGACGAGUGGCGGACGGGUGAGGAAUACAUCGGAAUCUACCCUGUCGUGGGGGAUAGCGUAGGGAAACUUUCGCUAAUACCGCAUACGAACUGAGGUUGAAAGCAGGGGACCGCAAGGCCUUGCGCGAUUGGAUGAGCCGAUGUCCGAUUAGCUAGUUGGUAAGGUAAAGGCUUACCAAGGCGACGAUCGGUAGCUGGUCUGAGAGGAUGAUCAGCCACACUGGAACUGAGACACGGUCCAGGCUCCUACGGGAGGCAGCAGUGGGGAAUAUUGGACAAUGGGCGCAAGCCUGAUCCAGCCAUGCCGCGUGUGUGAAGAAGGCCUUCGGGUUGUAAAGCACUUUUGUUGGGAAAGAAAAGCGGUCGGUUAAUACCCGGUCGUACUGACGGUACCCAAAGAAUAAGCACCGGCUAACUUCGUGCCAGCCGCCGCGGUAACAC
rnacentral:rRNA from 1 species